CUUUGUUUUCAUUGGAAUGUUAUGGUAGAAGCUGACACCUUUCUUGGCAAAAUGCUGCAGGAAAUGAUCAAUGCUGGUUUAGUUUGAGUACUAACAAUUACAGAUGAGAGGCUUUGUCUUGCGCUAACCCCAGACAGACAACAUGAAGCCGCUCCACCAGAAUGUGCUAAAGACAGAGAGUUGGGAUCUGGAGGAGGGUCCUGGGUAAAUGGAAACGCAACAACCUUUUGUCACCAGUCUGGUGGGUCAAAAUGUAUAACAGGCAGGCAAGCUGGCAGGCAGUGCUGUUUGAAGGUGCAGUCAGAAGCGAGUGUGGGCCUGAUGCUUUGUAGUAAUAUUUCCAGCAGCACAAUCUCAUUACUCUUUGACGUGGGAGAUGCAUGCAGGGGCGGAUUGUCAUUUCAUGCUGUCAAAAGUUCCGUGAGGGGAACCGGCGAUGGGAAUAGAACUUCAAUGACCUGCAUGUCUCUGGCUCAUUGAGACUGAAUAUAUUAAGCCAAAAAACACAGAU